GUUAAAAUGUUCUAUUUGCGAAUAUAAUGCAUGGAUCAGUGAUCUGCUACAUCACAGUGUAAAUACAGAAUCAAAGGUUGAUUAGAUGAAACUAGAACAGACUGUCAGUAUAUUUGCUGCUCCUCCCUCAUGAUGUCCUGAUGCAAAUCUCCAGUCUGUCCAGUGUACUUCUGUCCUGCUGACUGAUCUUGUUCUUUGUGUGGAGCAUCAGAGGUCACAUCUCCACACUCAGGAUGAUCAACACACUCACUCUGCUGCUGGUUGCUCUCUCUCUGUCCUGUUGUACAGGUCAGAGGAUGGAGUCUAUUCCUUCCAGUUCAGUGGUGAAACGUCCUGGAGAGACUCUCAGUCUGUCCUGCAGAGGAUCUGGAUUCACAUUCAGUAGCUAUGGGAUGCGCUGGAUCAGACAACCUGCAGGAAAAGGACUGGAAUGGAUCGGGGCUAUUUGGAGCGAUGCAAGUGGAACUGCUUAUUCCAGCAGUGUUCAAGGACGGAUAGAAAUCACCAAAGACAACAGCAACAGCAUGACGUAUCUGAGACUGUCCAACUUACAGUCAGAGGACUCUGCAGUUUAUUACUGUGCAAGAGACACACAGUGCUCUGUGUUAAUGAAGAGGCUGUACAAAAACUCCACAGAAAAUGUUCCUCCAAAGACCUCAGGGUGGCAGUGGAGGAUGUGAAAUGAAUGAAACUAACUGAGCAGUGUGUGACAUGAAAACUAUGAAAACAACAACUUUCAGCAGACGAUAGUAAUAGCAGGUCUGAAAUCAUGAGAAUACUGAUAUUUAUGCAGAAAGUGCAUGAACUGUAAAGCAAAGUUUGCUGGGUUCAAGAAAAAAAUCAAUUUUAGGUGUAAAGUUUGAAAGAAAAAGAACAUCAUUCUACAAA